rnacentral:rRNA from 1 species
GACGAACCGUACGAACGUUAUUCGGAAUCACUGGGCUUAAAGGGUGCGUAGGCGGCGCGGAAAGUUGGGUGUGAAAGCCCUCGGCUUAACCGAGGAAUUGCGCCCAAAACUACCGUGCUUGAGGGAGACAGAGGUGAGCGGAACUUAGGGUGGAGCGGUGAAAUGCGUUGAUAUCCUAAGGAACACCAGUGGCGAAAGCGGCUCACUGGGUCUCUUCUGACGCUGAGGCACGAAAGCUAGGGGAGCGAACGGG